AUGGAGAUGAAGCAGGAGGGUAUUUUACAACCUAUCAAGGGAGGAACAAUCUGCUAACAGGAAGGACAGAGUGAAUUUUCAGAAAAGCAUUCAAACAUGCCAAGUUCCUGUUUUAUACCCUUACUGCCAGGAUGGAACUACUUCUUCAAGGAGCAACUGCAAGCACUGACAGGAGAAAAGGGAGCACAGCCUCCAAGUUUCUUCAGCUUUGCACAGACAGCAGCUGGGUUUUGCAGAAGCAGUAAAUCCACCAGCACACACUGACACAAUCAGUCUGUGCAGGAAUAUUAAACUAAGUUUCAUUCCUCGGUCACAAUUCACCAGGACCCUAAUCUCCACUGUCUCUAGUUGUAGGACUUAGUCCUUUCUACAUUAGUAUUACAUCAUAAUUAAUUUUAUGGAAGAAGACACUACUGUCAUCACAGGUCUUGUUAAGGAAAGGAAAAGCAAGCAUGAAAUCAUGGAAAUCAAUGCCUA